AUGAAACUCGCUCCGUGGCCCUGCGAAAUCCUAUCAGUUUCCGCAACACCAUUUCCAGCCCUACCACAAAGGAGAACCACAAAGCCGCACCGCCGCCGCCGCCGCCGCGUUAAGCCAUCCACCCUAACACCGCAGUCCCGCUGCCCCGGCCCUCAUCCUCCCAUCCUCGCCCAACCCCUACUGAUGAGCCUUUUGCUCCCAUGUCGACAAGCUUCUCCAUAGUUUGCCGCCAAUGCCGCACGAGCUCCCUUGACCGUAGCCUCUCCUAUGUUGGGGCUGGUUGGGGGUGAAUCGGUGGAAAGAUACUGUCGCUUAGCAUCCUGUGAUCGUUCAUCGCCAACUCCUGCAGUCCCAUCGCGAACUACCGGAGAAAGAAGCGGCGACUCGGCAGGCGAUGCUUUUGCUGUUGUCAUCCCGCUACAGUUGUAUCUGCACGGUGGGCAGGGAUCGACAUCGCAAAGUCCACGAACACGAUCUGGCUACAAAAUGUCGAUUGGGGAGACGGACUCGCUGUUGCCGCUGAAUCCACCGCUGGACUCCUAUGCACAAGAACCACAUGGAGCUGUUCCGUAAUAAGGUAUUGUUAGUGGAAGCGGCUUCUGCUUCUUGACCCUCUUCCUGCCUUUGCCAGGUGACCAGCUGCAGGCAAGAGUUCCACCACCGGUGUGUCCUUGAGUGGAGGAAGCUUGAGGUUAAGUGGAGCACACGAGUGAUAUGAUGGUCAACAUCGAGCCAACCUUCUUUGCACUGCUAGACAUGGCUUAUUAGAUUUUGAUAUGAAGUGUGUUUGAUACCUUAUGUGUGAGUUGUGCGUGUGUCUAAGCCAAAUAUGAGAUGAUUUGUACAUAGCAUAUUUUGCAUUAAUGUUUGUCUAAAUGCUUUAUUGACCAUAUGUUUGUCUAAAUGCUUUAUUGACCAUAUAUUAUUGUUCUAAAAGUUUAUGUAUA